AUACACGCACACACACACACACACACACACACACACUCACGAC
rnacentral:rRNA from 1 species